CAGCAGUGGGGGAAUAUUGCACAAUGGGCGCAAGCCUGAUGCAGCCAUGCCGCGUGUAUGAAGAAGGCCUUCGGGUUGUAAAGUACUUUCAGCAGUGAGGAAGGUGGGUAUGUUAAUAGCAUACUCAUUUGACGUUAGCUGCAGAAGAAGCACCGGCUAACUCCGUGCCAGCAGCCGCGGUAAUACGGAGGGCGCGAGCGUUAAUCGGAAUUACUGGGCGUAAAGCGCAUGCAGGUGGUUUGUUAAGUCAGAUGUGAAAGCCCCGGGCUCAACCUCGGAAUUGCAUUUGAAACUGGCAAACUAGAGUACUGUAGAGGGGGUAGAAUUUCAGGUGUAACGGUGAAAUGCGUAGAGAUCUGAAGGAAUACCGGUGGCGAAGGCGGCCCCCUGGACAGAUACUGACACUCAGAUGCGAAAGCGUGGGGAGCAAACAGGAUUAGAUACCCUGGUAG
rnacentral:rRNA from 1 species